rnacentral:rRNA from 1 species
CAAGUCGAACGAUGAUGCUGGAGCUUGCUCCAGUUGAUUAGUGGCGAACGGGUGAGUAACACGUGAGCAAUCUGCCCUUGACUCUGGGAUAACUGCGGGAAACUGUAGCUAAUACCGGAUACUUUCACCGGAAGGCAUCUUCUGGUGAUGAAAGAAUUUCGGUCAGGGAUGAGCUCGCGGCCUAUCAGCUUGUUGGUGAGGUAACGGCUCACCAAGGCGACGACGGGUAGCCGGCCUGAGAGGGUGACCGGCCACACUGGGACUGAGACACGGCCCAGACUCCUACGGGAGGCAGCAGUGGGGAAUAUUGCACAAUGGGCGCAAGCCUGAUGCAGCAACGCCGCGUGAGGGAUGAAGGCCUUCGGGUUGUAAACCUCUUUUAGCAGGGAAGAAGCGAAAGUGACGGUACCUGCAGAAAAAGCACCGGCUAACUACGUGCCAGCAGCCGCGGUAAUACGUAGGGUGCAAGCGUUGUCCGGAAUUAUUGGGCGUAAAGAGCUCGUAGGCGGUUUGUCACGUCUGCUGUGAAAAUCCAAGGCUCAACCUUGGACUUGCAGUGGGUACGGGCAGGCUAGAGUGCGGUAGGGGAGAUGGGAAUUCCUGGUGUAGCGGUGGAAUGCGCAGAUAUCAGGAGGAACACCAAUGGCGAAGGCACAUCUCUGGGCCGUAACUGACGCUGAGGAGCGAAAACGUGGGGAGCAAACAGGAUUAGAUACCCUGGUAGUCCACGCCGUAAACGGUGGGUGCUAGCUGUGGGUCACAUUCCACGUGAUCCGUAACGAAGUUAACACAUUAAGCACCCCGCCUGGGGAGUACGGCCGCAAGGCUAAAACUCAAAGGAAUUGACGGG